rnacentral:misc_RNA from 1 species
GAAAUGCGAUAAGUAGUGUGAAUUGCAGAAUUCAGUGAAUCAGCGAAUCUUUGAACGCACAUUGCGCCCCUUGGUAUUCCAUGGGGCAUGCCUGUUCGAGCGUCAUUUGUACCCUCAAGCUCUGCUUGGUGUUGGGUGUUUGUCCCCGUCUCCGCGCGUGGACUCGCCCCAAAGUGAUUGGCAGCCGGCGUACUGGUCCCGGAGCGCAGCACAUGUCGCGCAAACGAGUGCCUUGGUACGGCGGCGUCCAUAAGCCCCUCUCUCACGCUCUUGACCUCGGAUCAGGUAGGGAUACCCGCUGAACUUAAGC